AAGACUAUAGACCUGCGGAGUACCUGCGGAGGGAUCAUUAUCGUAUUGUAACAAUUGGGGGGGCCACCGUGGGCUGUCGCUGACCCUUUGAAAGGGGGGUCGUGCACGCCCCCAUAGUGUCAUCCUCAUACAAUCCAACUCACCUCUGUGCAUCACCGCGUGGGUUCCUUUCUGGGUCGAGUCAGACUGGCUCAGAAAAAAAGGGGCUUGCGUUUUCCAUACAAAUACCCUUAUAAAUCC
rnacentral:misc_RNA from 1 species